GAUGAACGCUGGCGGCGUGCCUAAUACAUGCAAGUCGAGCGAACGGACGAGAAGCUUGCUUCUCUGAUGUUAGCGGCGGACGGGUGAGUAACACGUGGAUAACCUACCUAUAAGACUGGGAUAACUUCGGGAAACCGGAGCUAAUACAGGAUAAUAUUUUGAACCGCAUGGUUCAAAAGUGAAAGACGGUCUUGCUGUCACUUAUAGAUGGAUCCGCGCUGCAUUAGCUAGUUGGUAAGGUAACGGCUUACCAAGGCAACGAUGCAUAGCCGACCUGAGAGGGUGAUCGGCCACUCUGUAACUGAGAGACGUUCCUGACUCCUACGGGGGGCAUCAGUGGGGAAUCUUCCGCAAUGGGCGAAAGCCUGACGGAGCAACGCCGCGUGAGUGAUGAAGGUCUUCUGGUCGUAAAACUCUUUGAUUAGGGAAGAACAUUUGUGUAAGUAACUGUGCACAUCUUGACGGUACCUUAUCAGAAGGCCGCGGCUAACUACGUG
rnacentral:rRNA from 1 species